UUGACCUCAGAUCAGGUAGGAAUACCCGCUGAACUUAAGCAUAUCAAUAAGCGGAGGAAAAGAAACAACCAGGGAUUGCCCCAGUAACGGCGAGUGAAGCGGCAACAGCUCAAAUUUGAAAUCUGGCCCCAGGCCCGAGUUGUAAUUUGCAGAGGAUGUUUCUGGCGACGCGCCUUCCGAGUUCCCUGGAACGGGACGCCAUAGAGGGUGAGAGCCCCGUACGGUUGGAUGCCUAGCCUCUGUGAAACUCCUUCGACGAGUCGAGUAGUUUGGGAAUGCUGCUCUAAAUGGGAGGUAUACGUCUUCUAAAGCUAAAUAUUGGCCAGAGACCGAUAGCGCACAAGUAGAGUGAUCGAAAGAUGAAAAGCACUUUGAAAAGAGGGUUAAAUAGUACGUGAAAUUGUUGAAAGGGAAGCACUCAUGACCAGACUUGGGCAGGUUGAUCAUCCGUCGUUCUCGGCGGUGCACUCUGCCUGCCCAGGCCAGCAUCAGUUCGCUUCGGGGGAUAAAGGUUUCGGGAAUGUGGCUCCCUCGGGAGUGUUAUAGCCCGUUGCGCAAUACCCUGGGGUGGACUGAGGUUCGCGCUUCUGCAAGG
rnacentral:rRNA from 1 species